AUGGCAUUAUCUCAUUCUUUUUUAUGGCUAGUGUUGCACUGUAUAUAUGUACCACAUCUUUAUCCAUUCAUCUGUCAGUGGACACUUAGGUUGCUCCUACGUCUUGACUAUUAUACAAAGUGCUGCUAUGAACAACAAAAGCAGGUUUUUUAGAGAAGAAAUUUUGCCUCAAGACUGCAGUGUCGACUGCUGGCUGAAUUUCAGCCUGCUGGCCUCUUCUGCAGACUUCGGACUUGUUAGCCUUCACAAUUAACUGAGUCAAUUCCUUAAAUCUCCUUAUAUAUAUACAUACACACACAUACACAUACAUACACGUAUAUAUGUAUGCUAAGUCGUUUCAGUAGUGUCCAACUCUGUGCAACCCCAUGGACGACAGCCUGCCAGGCUCCUCUGUCCAUAGGAUUCUCCAGGCAAGAAUACUGGAGUGGGUUGCCAUGCCCUCCUCCAGGGGAUCUCCCCGACCCAGAGAUUGAACCCAUGUCUCUUACAGCUCCUGCGAUGGCAGGCAAGUUCUUUACCACUAGCGCCACCUGGAAUUGACAUAUAUAUUUCUGAUUCUAUGGAAAAUCCAGAGCAAUUCAAUCACAUUGUGUACUUUAGUACUAGCAGUAGUUUUUAAGAUGGAAAUUCAGAACCAUUCAAUCUGGAUGGACCUUCUUCCUGCUCCUCUGAGUUUGUACUAAGUGAACUGACAGCACUCUUAACUUCAAUUCAAAUGUGACAAAAUGCUGUCUAGGGAAGUGAGACAGAUGUUUGGGUUGUCAGGCUGCCUGGAGAUACACACAGAACUCUAGUGGGUAAGAGCCAGCAGAGAGCACUGACCAAAUGAGACUCAUAGGCUUUCCACUCACGACUUGAAACAAAGACCUACAAAGGAGUAAGCUUUGAGGAUACAAUGUGAAGAAAUCUAUGCUGUUAAGAGCCUGUUGGGAAAGGACAGGUUUCCUAAUCAGAUGGAAAAGUCAAACAAGAAUAUAUCCCACAAUAGAAGAACACUUUUUACUAAAUAGAAUGACAUAGGCAAUGAGAAUACAGGUAAUAUGCAACUAAAAUCCAAGCCCAACAUGUAAUGUUAAACAAAGGCUCUAAAUGACAAAAUUACCGCCAUGUGCAAAGAAUGGUGUUACUCUUUCCAUUCUUUACAAGAGUCAUCUAGUCUUUGCCCAUGAAUGAGUCAGUUUCCUAAAAUACAGAGUUCUUUCCUAAGAAGACCUGCACUCUGCUUACAUUUCUCACGACCACUAAAGAACAAUUAGCAUUAACUCUUUCCAGUCUUCUAGUUUCAAAAAACUCAAUGGCCCGUACUAGAAGUGAUAGGGAUAAAGCGAUCAAGUAGGUGAAUAAACAGUUAAUCCCACUUGGGGAUUUUAAGUAAAAAAAAAAAAUGGGAGACCCUUGUAAGUUAAUGAUUACUCAAGAAAGCAGGUGUUCUUAACCACAAAACCAAGCAGGCUUGCUUGGUAACAGAACCAUGCAACAGAAGCACGGGACAUGCCCCCAAACAGCAAAACAAUGGUGGCUUGAGACCCACAUCCUGCCAGUGAGUUCAAUAAGUUAAUGAUCCCUUGGAUAUGCUCUCUGCACACAUAAAAACCAAUAACUUGUGGACCUAGCUUGACCACACAGGAACAAGAAAACCCCCCUGCCCAACCUGGAGGAGGAGCUGAUGAUGGAAGCAUGUCUACUCAAGAAAGACAAAGUUCUUCUCCAUCUCCUCACUUUUCCUUUGAUUAUAAAACUAUAGCCCAGGAAGUUCUCUGUGCAUGGCACUGCCUCACCCAUCCUCUUGCAAGUCUCACAAGCAUCCUAUUCUUAUCUCUUUUCCUCUCGCUGAAUUCUUUCUGCACUGAGACAUAAAGGACUGUGGUACCAGAGCUUUUUGGAGCCCUCUGAAACAACACAAAAUGAUUUUCGAAGCAAGAUGCAUCUCCAAACUAUUUAAAGAUUCAAAAACAGGAAAAUUGGAGGCGUAAGUCAAGUUAUAAUCCUGAUCUUUCUGUCCCUUUCUGGCUAACUGCUCACCCAAUCUGUGUUUUUUUUUUUUUUUUGUCCUCCACAGUUAAGACUACAUUUCCCAGGGUUCUUGCAGUUGGAUGUGGUUAUAUAACAAAGUUUUGGGCAGUGGAAUGUGGAAGAAAGUCACGUGUAACCAGUUCCUGGACUGCCCUCAUGGCCAGACCUCCCACAAGUGAUCCUCCAUGCUUUUUCCUUUUUGGCAACAAUCCUGGAAAUGCCUAGUAGAAGACAGACACCACAAGGUGGAAUGAACCUGGCUCCCUUUAUCACCACCUGGAGAGCUACCAGCUGACCAGAAACACCUGUGUUGUACUUCAUCUGAGCAAUAAACUUCCAUGUGUUAAGUCAUUGUGAUUAGGGUUUUAUCUGCCAAGGCAGUGAAUUCUCAAUCAACAUGGUAUUUCAAAUUCAGUAGGUCCACAGCCAAAAUCCAAUGCCACCAGAAAAUCCUGUUACCUCCAACUUUAAAAUCUAUCCUGAAUCAAAUUUUUUACUGCACCCAAUUCUCUAGUCUGAAUUACCAUCAUUCCUCUCCUGAACCUGUAAUUAAUUGGUCUUCAUGCUUCUAUGUAUUUUAAAAUUGUAAAAUACUUUAAACUAUCUGUGCCUUUAUACUCUUUACUAUAUAAAUUAGUAUGAAAUUGUACAUAAUCAUAAAUAUGGAAUUGUUUUCAGUGUUUA